rnacentral:rRNA from 1 species
UACAGAGGUCUCAAGCGUUGUUCGGAUUCAUUGGGCGUAAAGGGCGCGUAGGCGGCGGGGUAAGUCGGGUGUGAAAUCUCAGAGCUCAACUCUGAAACUGCACUCGAUACUGCUCUGCUUGAGGACUGGAGAGGAGACUGGAAUUCACGGUGUAGCAGUGAAAUGCGUAGAUAUCGUGAGGAAGACCAGUGGCGAAGGCGGGUCUCUGGACAGUUCCUGACGCUGAGGCGCGAAGGCCGGGGGAGCAAAACGGG